rnacentral:lncRNA from 1 species
CGUUCAUGGAUGAAAAUCAUUAUUUUGCUGUCGACCAUGCAUUUGUUGCUGGUGCAGACACUUUUUUGGGGGCAAUUUCUUCAACCCGGCAACACCAUCUCUCUCUCACAACUGUGGGAAAUCUCUACAUUUCUUCAACUGUCCUUGCAAAUUAGCUGAACUAUCACCUGCUGCAUCUAUACAAAGAAUACUUGGAAAAUUGUGGAUCUUUUCAAAGGUUUCUCGAGUAAAAUGGGUUUUCUUGAUUUCUAAUGUUUUUUGCAUAUGGUGAUGAUUAUUUACAAAACUUGUUUACAUAAACUUGUAAACUAAGAAUAAUGCUACUCAACCCCGUUGAGGUUAUAUUCACAGUCUAUGAAAGGUGGAAUUAAAUGAUUUAUUUUAUUUGAUCUAUCAUUUAAUGACACAUUAGCACCAUAUAGACUCGGAUUAUGAUCUCG